rnacentral:rRNA from 1 species
AGUGAACGCUGGCGGUAGGCCUAACACAUGCAAGUCGAACGGCAGCACAGUAAGAGCUUGCUCUUACGGGUGGCGAGUGGCGGACGGGUGAGGAAUACAUCGGAAUCUACUUUUUCGUGGGGGAUAACGUAGGGAAACUUACUCUAAUACCGCAUACGCCCUACGGGUGAAAGCAGGGGAUCUUCGUACCUUGCGCGAUUGAAUGAGCCGAUGUCGGAUUAGCUAGUUGGCGGGUUAAAGGCCCACCAAGGCGACGAUCCGUAGCUGGUCUGAGAGGAUGAUCAGCCACACUGGAACUGAGACACGGUCCAGACUCCUACGGGAGGCAGCAGUGGAGAAUAUUGGACAAUGGGCGGAAGCCUGAUCCAGCCAUACCGCGUGGGUGAAGAAGGCCUUCGGGUUGUAAAGCCCUUUUGUUGGGAAAGAAAAGCAGCAGGUUAAUACCCCGCUGUUCUGACGGUACCCAAAGAAGAAGCACCGGCUAACUUCGUG